CAUUGUCGACCAUUUCAACUAGAGAGACAUAUCGUCCCAUCAAUCAAUUUUACAUGCAUGCAUCAAUCUGCCUCCAGCACCAGCAGGCACACGUCGACUUAAUUAGCCGGAGAAGGUCUGGAUGAUGGUGUUGUGCCACGGGUCAGACAGGUGCUGGAACAGGUUGUCGAGCGGCCCUUUUCCGGUGACCGCGUGCUGCACCGAGAAACCCAGGUACGCCAGCAUCGCCAGCCUCCCUACAAAAUCACAAAACGACCAAUUAAAUUCCUUUUCCGUUUGAGAUCUGGCCGUAGGAACUACUCCAGUAACUGGAAGAAGGGCAUGUAUGUACCGUUGGCGAUCUCCUUCUCCUUGGCCUCGAGCGUGGGCGCGAAGUUGAGCGGGUUGAAGACGCUGCCGGGGUAUCCGCACUCGUGGGGCGGCAGGCUGUAGCUCUUGAAGAUGGGGUCCUGGUUGACGCAGCCGGGCUCCUUGAUGUCCUGCCACCGCCGGAUCUCCACGUAGUGGAACAGGAUGAACUCCACGACGAAGAGCGUGGAGGAGGAGGCGAAGUAUGUGGACUUGCCGGCGUCGUACCACUCGGGGGCGUUGAUGAGGCCGAUCUUGGUCAGCAGCUCCGGCGUCAGCAUCCCCGCCACGCCCAGCAUCGCCCACCGCCCGUUCACCAGCUCCGCCUGCACGUACCACCGCAGGUUCUCCGGGUCCUCCGCCAGCCCCAACGGGUCGAACCCGUUGUCACCCGGCAGCCUGCGUCAAAUUAAUUAAUAUGCAUGUGUGUAAGCACCACUGACAGUGUUCGUUAAAUAUUUGGCCGGUUUUAUUGUAUGGAAUGUGCCAACUUACUUGCCGUCGAGGUAUGCAGGGGAGGGGAGGCCGGGGAGCCACUCGCCCUUGGCCUCCACCCGGAGGCUGCGCCGGCUUGUCGAGGAGGCGAGGCCAAGGCGGCUGGAGUGUCCGAGGAAGCCGGAGUUGAGCGACGCCGACGGGCGCAAGGCCGCCACGGGGGCGCGGGCG
rnacentral:lncRNA from 1 species